UACGUAGGGGGCGAGCGUUGUCCGGAUUUAUUGGGCGUAAAGAGCGUGUAGGCGGCCGUACAGGUCAGCUGUGAAAACUCGAGGCUCAACCUCGAGACGUCGGUUGAAACCGUACGGCUAGAGUCCGGAAGAGGAGAGUGGAAUUCCCGGUGUAGCGGUGAAAUGCGCAGAUAUCGGGAGGAACACCAAUGGCGAAGGCAGCUCGCUGGGACGUGACUGACGCUGAGACGCGAAAGCGUGGGGAGCAAACAGG
rnacentral:rRNA from 1 species